UACGUAGGGGGCAAGCGUUGUUCGGAAUCACUGGGCGUAAAGGGAGCGUAGGCGGGUCCGUAAGUUAGGAGUUUAAUGCACAGGCUUAACCUGUGACUUGCUUUUAAUACUGCGGAUCUUGAGUAUGGAAGAGGGAGAUGGAAUUCCAGGUGUAGCGGUGGAAUGCGUAGAUAUCUGGAAGAACACCAGUAGCGAAGGCGGUCUCCUGGUCCAAUACUGACGCUGAGGCUCGAAAGCUAGGGGAGCAAACAGG
rnacentral:rRNA from 1 species